GGGGGGGGGCUGAGAAGCGGGAGGGGGGUAGGCUUAUUUGUGGUGAUCCAUAGGCAGGCAAAGUGAAAAUUUACGGACUGUACAGCCCCAGACAGUGGGGGAAAAUAGAAGCUGUGUAACCCCAGAGACCAGAAGGUGGACUACAGAUAAAUCUGCGAAGAGAAGUAAAAAGAUGUGUUGAAGACAGCGAGAUAAAGAGAGAACUAGUGAGCGAAGCUGUAGUCAUCCUGAUAGAUAGAGCAGCAAGAGUGAUUUAGUCUGCUCGGGAGGAUCCAAUGAGAAUUCAAGAGGGCACCGCUUCGGAAAUCCUGCUCAGAUCUUCCCUCUCUCAGUUCUUUAAGAGUUACCUGCGCUGGGAACAUUAUUAUUAGGGUUAACAGUAUUCCAUCAGUGCAUUCCACUAGGAUCUCCCUUUCUUUCCCUCGCAGCAACGGAGGGAGGCGUAGUACGGAAGCCCAACUCCACCGAGCCCCCCAGAUAAACCCCUGUGUUCACUUUAGGAUGGCCGGAUCCUCGAGGAUUGGCCUGGGGGGCUGAAGAUGCGGAGGAGGCCGGGUCUCCCGGGCGCUUUCGGGGGCGCAGGGCCGGGAGGCGUAGGCAGGGGGCUGGGGAACCGCUGCUGGAAGCGGCGGCGGCGGCGGCAGGAGCCCUCCCAGGUCCUGCUUCCUCGGCGAAUCCUGCUUCCCCGGGACUCCAGGCAAUGGGCUUCCAUCGGGAACCUCAGCUCCAAGUGCCUCACUUUAGCAGCUAGAGCUUUGGAGGUUCUGAGGAUCGUCCCUGUCCCUGGGGGCAGAGGGUGGCAGGCUGCGAGUCUCCCGCGCCCCCUCUGAUUCCUGCACUGGUAACGGAGGGAGAGUGAGUCAGAAAUGGUUUUGCUGCCGAAUGCAUUAUCUGGCCAUGUUCACAGCCCUGUACCGCACAAGCGAUCGCCUGAUCGAUCCGAAAUAAGAGGGAAAGGUAGAGUGGAAAUUGAUUUAUUGCAGAGACUGAGGCGCCAAAUGAAAGAGGGAAUAAACAUUUGCCCUGGAUAAAAAUGUUCUUGGAAAGUAGGAGCUUGUAAGGAUGAAUUUGAAGUAAAGGGGCUUGAAGAAGGCAGUGUGAAGGCUUUAAGGUCCUAAUUUCCUGCAUUCAAAGUACAAACUCAGUUAAAGCUGAUGCCUGCUUGUUUGCUAAAUGAGUAGUUAAAUACCUCCCUGAUUUCUUACUGAAAUUUUCCUUUCUGAAAAUAAAGAAUAUAGUUUGGGGUCUGUGUCUAUGCUUUUCAUAUAGCUUGACUAUGUUCUAAAAUAUAAUAUUUUCUCAGUUUCAGAAAUAAUGUGAAUCGCGCCCCCCCACCCCCCACCCCCGGCCUUUUCUUUGCAGGGGGGGAGGGGCAGGAAAGAUGAAGUCAUAGAACCGUUUUACAAAUGUGUGCACCUUCCUUCCAAUUCUUGCACCGGAUAUAAACUUAUAAGGUCCAGAGUAGGCUUUUGCAUGUCAUGGUGAUACCUGUGAAUUCAUCCAGUCCUGGCUUUCCUGAGUCUACAGCGUCCCCAGCCUGCACAGACUCCUGCCUGGAGAAUGGGUAGGUGGAGGAGUGGGAGGAGCCAAAGAUUGACUGUGUUGACAUCAUGUGUCACUAGGUGCUCAGAAUCACAAAGCUUGCAAAUUGUGUGAACUCGGUUUUGCUGGUGUAAACUGACCACUUUGGAGGUGAAUACUUAAAGGAGACCUGCUCUAAAAGAAAUUGUUGCAAUUUUGAGUUCAAGAACAUGAUUUAUUGGUGAACUACUCAUAUUCACUUUUUCCUCCAUUGUGAUCAUUCUUUCCACUGUAAACUCCUUAUCCUCAGUUUUAAUGAUAAUGGAUUAUUUAACUGUCCCAAAAUGCAGUCCUGAUACAAACAGACUGCCUUUAACCUCAUAUGAAAUAAUUCAUCUUAAAAAUUCCAUGGAUGAGAGAGUAAAAAUAGACUUUAUUUCUGAUCAUCAAUUUUCUAGAACUUGCUAAGGUAAAAUCCCAGGACUAAGUGGGUGUGUGCAUGUGUUGAAAUCCGUACCUAUUAUUCCUAUCAAAAUAGCAAGGGAAAAAUUUUUUUCACAAAGGACAUGUUUGUAUAACUCUUUUUCUUUCUCUCCUCAGGCUGUAUUCCAUAACUAAUGAUGCCCUAGAGCAGAAGGUUUCCUUCAGUCAUCUCAUUUAACCAAAAGGAUGAUUUCUGUGCAUGUCCCUGUGUUUUAGACACAUGUAGCAAGGGAGAUUGGAGGUCCACCCAAGGAGGAUGACUUAUUACAAACACAAACCUAGCAGCUGUGGUUUGAAAGAACAUACUUUUUAUAUAAAAAUUACAAUAUGCUGUUCAAACCUAUUUAAGCUGUUAUUCAAGGAAAUAGAAUUAUUUAUUGAGAACCCAACUUAAAUUAGAAAAGUAACAUUGACAUUUUUAGCACAUAUGUGAAAUAAAUGUGAGAUUGAUAUUCUUUUAAAUAUUUAGAGAAAAAAAUAGGACAAGAUGAAAAAAUACUGUGACCCAUGGCUCCUUAACUUUAAAAGAGUUUACAGCACUUAGACAUCAAUAAAUAAUAUGAGUAUUUUAACAUUAUAUUAGAUCAUGUGAUUAUAUUUGAUCAACCCGCAGAUAGAGCUGUCUCCUAACUGGUUUCUACCUAAGAGCAAGAAAGUUUGAGCUUAGACCUUACUCAGAAGUUAUGCAUUUUAUUUUUAUGUUGAACUUGUCUUUUCCUGGGUAAUCUUCACGUACAUCUGCAGUUGGUAUUUUAGCCAAUUUUUGUUAUUGGUAAUGUUCUUGUCUGUUAUUCUGGCUCCAUCUUUUUUAAGAAUAUGGGUAUCACCUAAUAUAUUUCUUACCUAUUAAUCCGCUAAAAUUUCUAACACAAAGCAACAUUCAAGACAUGUUGAAUUAAAGAAAUUAUGAAGCAAGUUGCUUGUGAAGAAAAGUGUCAAUAUACUUCAGAUUAUUUUAACCUGAAAUAAAUGUGUAACAAAAAUGGGUUAUAAUGAGAUAAGUACAGUCAAACUGUUCCUUGUAUACAUAUGUAACACUCACAUUUAUACAUAUAUAGUUGCCCUCAUUACAAUGCUUAAAUUUAUUCAUUUGAGUCUUAUGCUUAUUUUGAUUUCAGAGUUUUCUCUUUGAAAGUGUCUAAAACUUCUUCAAUAACUAAGUGUGAAAGUAUCUUCAUGUCUUAUCUCAUGAGACUAUAAUGGAGCAGGACCCUAGGAGGCUUUCCUAGAACAGACCCACACACAUGUCCUCCACCUGCCUUUGUAGAAAAACUUUAGUCGAGGAAUAAAGUUCAUCAGAGAAGUAAGAAGAUGCAGAGAGAAAGAGAAACAGUCAAGCAUGACAAACUAAUACUUUAUCCAUUAAACAAAGUCAAGGACCUUAGUUCCUCCUCAAAGGCUAUAGAUAAUAUUCUGAACUAUAUCCUUUGAGCUGUUUUACAAAUACUGAAACCCCCACCAGGUGGAAGUAGUUACUGUUGUCUGCCCAGAGACAGGGAGACCUCCAGGCAGGUUGGAACCAGAAGGCUGAUGAUAUUGACUCCCAAUCACCUCAUUAUCAAGCUGAUCGUGCCCUGCUCCUUGAAUACUUAAAUAAGACUCCUCACUACUACCCACCUCCGUGGUAGGACACAUGGUCUCAAGGGCAUUAGCCCUCUGUGGCCCUCUGUGCUUGUCAAAGAAAUAAAGCUAUUUCUAUUUCACCCAAAACUCUGUCUGAUUUACUCCAGCACCAUGGUGCAAAGGCCAAAUUUCAGAAACAAGGUCAAUAUGCUGCUAAAUGAACUGACCAGUACAUUCACAUCUCAGAAAAAGUGUACUGGAACUUGAAGGAGUAUUAAAGGUAGCUUAGUCAUUUUCAUUAUGAUGAAAAAUUUGAGCACCAGAGAAACUGAGUCAUUAGUGUAAUCAUACACUAGCUACUAACCCAGGGAAUUUUAAAUAUAGUUUUAGUAACUUCUUAGCUAGUAUUAUUCUGAAUCAAUUCGAUUGACAUUGACAUUGAAGUCUUUCAGUCGUGUCUGACUGUUUGUGACCCCAUGGACUGUAGCCUACCAGGCUCCUCCGUCCAUGGAAUUUUUCAGGCAAGUGUACUGGAGUGGAUUGCCAUUUCCUUCUCCCGGAGCUCUUCCGGACCCAGGGAUCGAACCCAGUCUCCCUCAUUGUAGGCAGGCGCUUGCUAAACAAGUAGUGUUUUUGAAAUUGGGCUAAACAAUAAAUGAAAGAGAGAAAAAGCAGUGUAAAGAUGAAUAUAUUGCAGUCUUCUCCAAGCUUAUUUUGUUGCUAACACUCUUUAUUGUAGAUUUUUUUUCUUUUUCUGCUGUGUUUUAUCCUCCCCUUUUCCUUCCAUCCCUGUCCUCAAAGAUUGGGGAAUAUUUCAUGACAUAAUUUUACUUUCUAAGGAAAGAUUCUCAGUGUUCUGUCUGUAUGUGCAUUGCGUUGUUCACUAGGCUAUGUUCCACUACACAAUACAACCUUAAAAUGUAGAUAAUUUCAGUCACCUGCAACAUCAUUUUCCAUCAUGUCACUUCUAUUUUCCUCAUUUUAAAUUUCCUGCCAAUAUAAACAGUGGGAUUGUAUGAAAAGAAAAGCCAGGAUCUCAAAAUAAGCUAUUUAAUAAGACCCUGAAUUACCUCAGAGAUAAAUUAAAAAAAAAAAAAAAACCUCACACACACAGACACUGUGAAAUAAAUGCACAAGUUAAGACAGUGCAUUGUGAUGAAGACAUUAGGUGAAAAAAAAAAAUGUUCUGGUCAAAAAGUUCUAUACUUAUUAGGAGAAAAGCUGUAAGACUAUAGCCAUUUAGAGGGUGUUCAAUUUUCUGCAGUGGCUGAAGUCAUAUCAAUCUUCUACAUUCUUUUAUAUAUGUCAAUAUUUGAGUAUUACACAUAAGCCAUAAGUUUUGGUAAUGACAAACAUAAAAGACAAGCAUUAACAUGAAAAUCCAUGGGAGUUAUUAUUACUUCAGAAGAGAUAUCAUUCCUGGAUUAAACAAGACAGUAAUAGAACCAAAUUUAAACAUGUAUGGAUGUGAGAGACUGUGAAGAAGGCUGAGCGCUGAAGAAUUGACGCUUUUGAACUGUGGUGUUGGAGAAGACUCCUGAGAGUCCCUUGGAUUUCUUUGGAAGGAAUGAUGUGCUCUCAAGUAUAGUGUUAAAAUUUUACACUAACUUCAGUUCAGUUCAGUUCAGUUCAGUCACUCAGUCGCGUCCUACUCUUUGCGACUCCAUGAAUCGCAGCACGCCAGGCCUCCCUGUCCACCAACUCCCAGAGUUCACUCAGAUUCACGUCCAUCCAGUCAGUGAUGCCAUCCAGCCAUCUCAUUUGCUGUCGUCCCCUUUUCCUCCUGCCCCUAAUCCCUCCCAGCAUCAAAGUCUUUUCCAAUGAGUCAACUCUUCACACGAGGUGGCCAGAG
ensembl:lncRNA